rnacentral:misc_RNA from 1 species
AGAGUUUUAAGGAGAGCUUCAUACUGGUCAAGUAAAGGACAAAGUAAUCCUGCAGUGCCUGAGACACUUACAUAUAAGCUAGUUGCCGAUAUUUGUGUCAUCACUGAAAUCAGUGUGCGACCUUUUCAAGUUUUUUUUCAGUGGGGUUCACCUAUAUAUUCUGCCAAAUCAGUGCGCUUUCGAAUGGGUCAUCCCAAAGCCCCAGUGGAUGAUCCCAUGGGUGAGCCAUGUGAUAAUUUUGCUGAUGACAAUUUCGUAUGGACUUACACUUCACCUGAAUUUGCAAUGGCUCAGGAGAAUCGCUUGCAGAAGUUUGAGCUUCCAGAGCCUGUUCUUUGCAUAGGUGGAAUUCUACAAGUUGAGCUGUUGGGUAGGGUUCAGAAACAAGAAAUGGAUGGUUUAUUCUAUAUAUGUGUCUCUCACGUUCAAGUUGUGGGCCGACCAUUAUCACCUCCAUUUAGUGUUGAAAUUCUAGAACCCUCUGGAAAGUUUGUCUUAAAAGCAUCGAGCUACACACCACCACUCUUAGCUGAAAAUGGAUCCUGUCCAGGUCCUAAUGCAUAUUUUGAGGGGCCUGCGAGAGAUCUAGAGCAGAUCUUGCACUUGCUGCGGGGAGAAGGUGUAGUUGUUGAGUAUGAUUGGAAUGAAGAGGACGAAUUAGAUGACGAAAUGGCUCUCUGAGCUUAUUUACUAGAAUAAAUUUUAACUUUCCUGGUCCAUGCUUUUGGGAUGAAAUAUAAAAUUAAAGUAUGGACCUAAGUGAGAGUGGAUCUGGGAACCCUUUUUCUGAUCAAGAUGUUUAUCCGCAUAACAGGUACUGCACACAUCACUUCCAUUUGUUUUCUUUGAUUUUACUACCCACAUCACCUUGUUGUCUC